rnacentral:rRNA from 1 species
CCUACGGGAGGCAGCAGUGAGGAAUAUUGGUCAAUGGACGAGAGUCUGAACCAGCCAAGUAGCGUGAAGGAUGACUGCCCUAUGGGUUGUAAACUUCUUUUAUAUGGGAAUAAAACGUUCCACGUGUGGGAUUUUGUAUGUACCAUAUGAAUAAGGAUCGGCUAACUCCGUGCCAGCAGCCGCGGUAAUACGGAGGAUCCGAGCGUUAUCCGGAUUUAUUGGGUUUAAAGGGAGCGUAGGUGGAGUGUUAAGUCAGUUGUGAAAGUUUGCGGCUCAACCGUAAAAUUGCAGUUGAAACUGGCAGUCUUGAGUACAGUAGAGGUGGGCGGAAUUCGUGGUGUAGCGGUGAAAUGCUUAGAUAUCACGAAGAACUCCGAUUGCGAAGGCAGUUCACUGGACUGCAACUGACACUGAGGCUCGAAAGUGUGGGUAUCAAACAGGAUUAGAUACCCCAGUAGUC